rnacentral:rRNA from 1 species
UACGGAGGAUGCGAGCGUUAUCCGGAUUUAUUGGGUUUAAAGGGUGCGUAGGCGGAUCGUUAAGUCAGUGGUCAAACUGAGGGGCUCAACCCCUUCCCGCCAUUGAAACUGGCGAUUUUGAGUGGAAGAGAAGUAUGCGGAAUGCGUGGUGUAGCGGUGAAAUGCAUAGAUAUCACGCAGAACCCCGAUUGCGAAGGCAGCAUGCCGGCUUCCUACUGACGCUGAAGCACGAAAGCGUGGGGAGCAAACAGG